UGGCAUAUUUUUAGGCCUCUCCUAAACCCA
rnacentral:piRNA from 1 species